GUUUGUAUAUCAUGUUCCUACUUGAUCAAAUAAACAGGCAUACGAGAAAUGUUUUCAAAAUCUUCACUACGUGGAGCGUCAUGAAGAACAUACAAUUGCACACGCUGUGCAAACUUCAUAUAAGAAAACUAAGGUGUAUCUCUGGCCUGCUCCUACUCGAACAGGUAUGAAAGCAGGAAGAACUGUUGAAAACAUUUUGUAUUUAGCCGGUUUCAAGAAUGUCAAAUCCAAGGUGGUUGGCUCAAGGAAUCCUCAUAACACAGUUAAAGCCGUUUUAAAAGCUCUGAAUGCUAUUGAAACACCGAAAGAUGUUCAGGAGAAGUUUGGCCGGACUGUCGUUGAGAAGUACUUGCUUUGAUUGGGUAUUUCACGUGCUCAUUAGCAAUUUUUUUCUUUAUUCAUUUUCUUGGAUUUUCACUUCCAAGCAAAAGAAAUUAUAAUCCAUCACACUAUUUUAGUCUUUUUCUAUCAUCUGUUAUGUGGCAUAAUAUGGUACACGGACAGUACUAUUAACACCGGACAAGCGAGGGUUUUUUAUGGGCGCUUUCGGGAUGAUAUCCAUGUUCUGUUCUUAGAGAUGAAUGGAUGGGAGGUUUUUUAAGAUUUUGUAGAUUAGAAUCCUUGAGUUCCUAGAAAACUUAAUUUUGAAUAAGUUAAUCUUCUGAAUUUUCAAUCUAUACCAGUAUGGUGCUUUUUGUA